UCCGGCUUAACACCGGCAGUCUCGCUAGAGUACUCGCCAUUACGCGUGAGCAACUAACGACAGGGGUUGCGCUCGUUAGAGGACUUAACCCGACACUUCACAGCACGAGCUGACGACAGCCAUGCAGCACCUGUGACCGUUCCGAUCUUGCGAUUGUGGCUCUACUUUCAUAGAGUUAAUCCGGCCAUGUCAAACCCAGGUAAGGUUCUUCGCGUUGCCUCGAAUUAAGCAACAUGCUCCACCGCUUGUGUGAGCCCCCGUCAAUUCCUUUGAGUUUUAGCCUUGCGACCGUACUCCCCAGGCGGCACACUUAAUGUUUUUACGGCGACCGAUCCGGCGUCAGAGCCGCACCGGUCUAGUGUGCAUCGUUUACGGCGUGGACUAC
rnacentral:misc_RNA from 1 species